AUUCGGCCAAGUUUUGAAUUCUAUUUGGAAUUUUGCAAUGACAAAAUCAACCAAUUGUUAACCUAUCAGCCUUUUUUUUAAAUCCAAAAUUUUAGACCCAAUUGCACUUUCAAUGCAACUCAAAGAUCAAAUGAUGAGCCCGUUUAAACCCCAGUCCACUCUAUACUAAUUGAUCCCGCCAAUUAUUUAUUUUUCUCUUCCAAAAGAAAAGGAACCCAGAAGAAGUGUUGCGAUAAAUGUUCCAACACCAACUUCACGGCGUGAGAAAUAAUUUCAAAAUGCCCCCCGUUUCGUUCAACCUUCCUAGUGCGUGCUGCGGCGACGUGCAGUCCACUCCCGACGCGUCUUCCUCCCCAGCUAUGAAGGUUGAAAGACAAGAUGAGGAUGAAAUCUCACCAAAAAGGCUAAAACAUGGAAAGAAGAGCAAAAACACAAAUUUGAUGUUAAAAAAAAAAAACAGUCGACAACUCGCCGAGUGUGCAAGACCUCACAAAAAAUAACAGGGUCUUCGACUAAAAUUCUCAAGGCAGGUCGGUGAGAAGAUGAAAUAAUCGGUGAUUUAUUGAACUCAGUCAGCGAGAUGACAUUUGCUCGCUGAAAGUGACAGAACAAUUGGGUUAAAUUGAAGGCUAAUAAGGCGUGAUUGAUUGAUGAUCAAUGACUCACCAAAUAUGAACAACGAACUUCAUCAAGCUCGUCAACUGUGGUUCAAACACAUAAAUCCUGAAGUCAAGAAAAGGCAAAUAAAGAGCAAUUCGUGACUUAUUGAAUGAGUUGGUGAACCCGACUAGCAUCGCUGAAUAGGUCAUUCCAUGAAAUUUUGGCAACGAUUUAGGGAAAAUAGAUAUAGACAAAAAGAGAGAAAAAUACAUCUUGGGUUAUACAAUGUUGAUAUGAGACUUUCUGAAAUUUUAGUACAAUAGAACUUUUUAUUUUCUUAAGUGAAAAACAAGCUUGUAACCCAUAAUUUUUGGGAGAUUCAAAAGCGGGUCCUUAAAUUGAAGUUCCAAAUCAAGAGUCUGAUGA